rnacentral:rRNA from 1 species
UACGUAGGGUGCGAGCGUUGUCCGGAUUUAUUGGGCGUAAAGAGCUCGUAGGCGGCUCGUUGCGUCAACCGUGAAAACCCGGGGCUUAACUUCGGGCUUGCGGUUGAUACGGGCGGGCUGGAGUUCGGUAGGGGAGACUGGAAUUCCUGGUGUAGCGGUGAAAUGCGCAGAUAUCAGGAGGAACACCAGCGGCGAAGGCGGCGCUCUGGGCUGGAACUGACGCUGAGGAGCGAAAGCGUGGGGAGCGAACAGG